CAGCAGCCGCGGUAAUACGUAGGUCCCGAGCGCUGUCCGGAUUUAUUGGGCGUAAAGCGAGCGCAGGCGGUUAGAUAAGUCUGAAGUUAAAGGCUGUGGCUUAACCAUAGUACGCUUUGGAAACUGUUUAACUUGAGUGCAAGAGGGGAGAGUGGAAUUCCAUGUGUAGCGGUGAAAUGCGUAGAUAUAUGGAGGAACACCGGUGGCGAAAGCGGCUCUCUGGCUUGUAACUGACGCUGAGGCUCGAAAGCGUGGGGAGCAAACAGGAUUAGAUACCCGCGUAGUCCCUGUCUCUUAUACA
rnacentral:rRNA from 1 species